CAGCCGUGUCAGUGUUGGCAGGAUAAUAAGGUAUCCAGAAAUUUUACAUUGGACCUAAACGUAUUCAAAGCACUUUGGGACACUCUCCUGAAGUUAAAGUUGUUCUAAGUGUGCCAGAUGGCACAGAAGUGGCCUUAGCCAGGAGGCUGGUGAUGGGUGAACCGGGAACUUGCUGCCUUUGUGUUUGAGGACAUGUUAAUUUCACUUCUGUGCAUUGAGAGAGAACAGCUGGGGUUUGGUUGCAGACGUGGAGUUAAUUCCACACUGUGCCUUGGUAAAUACAAUAACCAUCUCCCCCGGCAGGUUGCUGCCCACAAGCGAUGUGUAAAAAAAAUGAUCCUAAAUCCUCUCAGGGACAAGCAACAGUCUGUCACGAGCUGCUGAAAAACAGCCAUUUCACAACAA